rnacentral:misc_RNA from 1 species
UACGGAGGGUGCAAGCGUUGUCCGGAUUUAUUGGGUUUAAAGCGUGCGUAGGCGGCCCAUUAGGUCAGAGGUGAAAGCCAACAGCUCAACUGUGGAACUGCCAUUGAUACUGGUGGGCUUGAGUCAAGUCGAGGCGGGCGGAACUGGUGGUGUAGCGGUGAAAUGCAUAGAUACCACCAAGAAUCCCGGUUGCGUAGGCAGCUCGCUAGGCUUUAACUGACGCUGAGGCACGAAAGCGUGGGUAGCGAACAGG